GCCGACACGAACGGACGGGCCUCUGCACCAUUCAUGCCCCGGCUGGGCCGGGCCGGCGCUCACCGCCGCCGCGGGCCCGCUCCUACCCUCGGGUUUCUAGGUCGUCCGCGCUGCCCGCAGCCGCGUUUCCCUUCGGGGCCCUCGGGUACCCCAUGAGGACUCCGUAGCCCUGGCUUUGGUUUCUGCCCGCCGGGGACUGGGAUAGGCGCGGAGGUUCUCACUUCUGCCGCUUCGGGUGAGGCAAGGCAAGCUCUGCAUCCCUCUCCUCGGCCUUGGUGUCCCCUCUGUCCUCCUGUUCCCUUUAGACCGAGUGAAUCCAGGUGCCCUGAGUGGCUCGCUGGGUCAGGCCCGCGCGGCCUGCUGGAGGACCUUGGGGUCUUUGAAGCCUGGGGGAGAGUUCAGAGCGGCAGAACAGCGCAGGGCUGGCUGGGUGCCAGGCGCUCCCGGGUUCACCUGCAGUUUAAUAAGCUCGAGGUUUCCGAGAGAGCGCUUUUGCCUACGCCAUCGCAGCAGCUGGCGUGGUGCACGCCGUGUCCAAUGCGUGUGCCCUGGGCAAACUGAAGGCCUGUGGCUGUGAUGCGUCCCGGCGA
rnacentral:lncRNA from 1 species